rnacentral:rRNA from 1 species
UGGGGAAUAUUGGACAAUGGGGGCAACCCUGAUCCAGCAAUGCCGCGUGUGUGAAGAAGGUCUUCGGAUUGUAAAGCACUUUCGACGGGGACGAUGAUGACGGUACCCGUAGAAGAAGCCCCGGCUAACUUCGUGCCAGCAGCCGCGGUAAUACGAAGGGGGCUAGCGUUGCUCGGAAUGACUGGGCGUAAAGGGCGUGUAGGCGGUUUACACAGUCAGAUGUGAAAUCCCCGGGCUUAACCUGGGAGCUGCAUUUGAUACGUGUAGACUAGAGUGUGAGAGAGGGUUGUGGAAUUCCCAGUGUAGAGGUGAAAUUCGUAGAUAUUGGGAAGAACACCGGUGGCGAAGGCGGCAACCUGGCUCAUGACUGACGCUGAGGCGCGAAAGCGUGGGGAGCAAACAGGAUUAGAUACCCUGGUAGUCCACGCUGUAAACGAUGUGUGCUAGAUGUUGGGUAACUUUGUUAUUCAGUGUCGCAGUUAACGCGUUAAGCACA